CAGUCGCCGCGGUAAUACGUAGGUCCCGAGCGUUGUCCGGAUUUAUUGGGCGUAAAGCGGGCGCAGGCGGUUUGAUAAGUCUGAAGUUAAAGGCUGUGGCUCAACCAUAGUUCGCUUUGGAAACUGUCAAACUUGAGUGCAGAAGGGGAGAGUGGAAUUCCAUGUGUAGUGGUGAAAUGCGUAGAGAUGUGGAGGAACACCAGUGGCGAAGGCGACUCUCUGGUCUGUAACUGACGCUGAGGAGCGAAAGCGUGGGGAGCGAACAGGAUUAGAUACCCGAGUAGUCCCUGUCUCUUAUACA
rnacentral:rRNA from 1 species